rnacentral:rRNA from 1 species
CAGUCGCCGCGGUAAUACGGAGGGGGCUAGCGUUGUUCGGAAUUACUGGGCGUAAAGCGCACGUAGGCUGCUUUGUAAGUUAGAGGUGAAAGCCUGGUGCUCAACACCAGAACUGCCUUUAAGACUGCAGAGCUAGAACGUCGGAGAGGUGAGCGGGAUUCCGAGUGUAGAGGUGAAAUUCGUAGAUAUUCGGAAGAACACCAGUGGCGAAGGCGGCUCACUGGACGACUGUUGACGCUGAGGUGCGAAAGCGUGGGGAGCAAACAGGAUUAGAGACCCCAGUAGUCCCUGUCUCUUAUAC